CAUACAUCGUCUUUUUUCUAACACAGACCCGUCAUCGGAUGCUGAAUACUGUGUCAGGUUCGACCUAAAGGGUGGGAACCUCAUCGUUUCGCUUCUGGAAACUGGUUGACUGCCAAUAUCACUCAUGCAGCCAUUGCCCACUGAAUUUUGAGGCUCAAAAGUUUUCUUAGAUCCCAUCAACGGCGAUGUUUUGUACAUCAUAGCCUUCCCCUCCACCGGCAAGAAUAUUACGGCAUGUCACUGCAAUAUCGCCUCCUUGUAAGGUGAAACAGCGGAAGUCCUCUGUCGCUUCUUGUGAAAGAAAUGAAGGCUUAGACCCUGCAGGAGCAGUAGCACUAUGAGGAUGAUAGAUUCCCGUUUGAGGGGUCGCAAUAUCAAACAGGUACCCAUCGUAUUGAGACUGUUCGGCAUCUGUAAUGAGGCUAGCAGAUACAAGUCUCUCAAAGAUUGGAAGCUCUUAUCAUCGACGUGAGGCCAAGCCCAUACAGGAUACGUUCCGAUAUCUUGAGAUGAUAUGAUUGAUGAAUUGGUUCCCACCAAUUUUUCGGGAGUAGUUCUGUCACUGAGUUCAAUCUUUGGUUCCCAAAGAGCCCUGCUGGAGAGAAUGAGAUCGGCCUGCCCUUCUCCUUCCGAUAAUAAGCUGCCUCCUUGGAUUGACCUAUCCCAUUCAGGUCAGCCAAUUAAAGACAGUUCUUCUGCAUUUAGGCCACCAUCCUGACUGCUGAGGACUUCCUUGGAGUUACCCUAGAAAGCAAUUCCAAGUCAGCCGGCAAAUGACUCAUUUCGCGAAGUCGCGGAGUGACAGCAUAAUAAGUACAGGUUCUAAACGCACCUUAGAUUGGGAAGAUGAGACGGUCUGUUGUGCCUGUAGGAUGUCCGCGAAAGCUCGGGAUAGCUCACCCUCAUAUCUUUUAUCCAAUUCCCUUAGCUGCGGACCCAUGUCUAGCAGCUCUCGCGAUGCUUCUCUUGUUUCGGCAUACGCGGCGGAUUCGAAUGAGCGCAAGUAUUGGUGGAGUUGUCCAAGGUUGUUAUGACCAGGCGUAUAACUGACAUCUUUACCACCGGCACUGUUGUUAUCAUGCUGGAAAAUUCGGGAAUGGAGCUCUUUGGCGGUUCUCAAUGUGAAGGGCAAGUAUGUCGAGCCCCCCGCUUCAAGGAGGCGCUUGCCAGCAUCGAGAGCAAGCUGUAUAAUGGCAGUAUCAUUAUCCUGCUCGUAUUGAUUAUUACUUGGUCGAUGACGUCGUUGUAGUGAUGAAUGGUUAUCAUCGCCAUACUAGUCAUAUACUGUUGUCGCAAUAGUAGUAGUGGGAAAACUUGCUGUGGCAACUGACAUAACGAUGGUUAAGCUUGCGAUGAUGAAGGUGAUAGAACAGCAAAAGAAAGAACUGAUGUAAAAUAUAAGUCGCUUACUUUCUCUUCAUCAAGAUCAAGUCUUGUUGCUUGUUGUGGUGUCGGAUCAUUGAUGAGUCAGCUUCAUCCUUUGUUUUGCGCCUUCUUAGAAGCAGAGCUGAAAACAAUGGAUAGGCUCCGACGUGGGAUCGC
rnacentral:sRNA from 1 species